rnacentral:snoRNA from 1 species
GGCAGCCUGUUUUAACUUGUGGAUAAAGACUUAAAGAUGAGUACAAAAAUAAAGCCUUUUUUGCAACCUAAAACUUGUUUAAUAUGACUUUUAAUACAUAUGAGAAGGAGUGUG